UGGGGGAUAUUGCACAAUGGGGGAAACCCUGAUGCAGCAACGCCGCGUGAGGGAAGAAGGCUUUCGGAUUGUAAACCUCUGUCUUUGGUGACGAUAAUGACGGUAGCCAAGGAGGAAGCCACGGCUAACUACGUGCCAGCAGCCGCGGUAAUACGUAGGUGGCAAGCGUUGUCCGGAAUUACUGGGUGUAAAGGGUGCGUAGGCGGGUACCCAAGUCAAAGGUGAAAUCGAUGGGCUCAACCCAUAGACUGCGUUUGAAACUGGGUAUCUUGAGUGAAGUAGAGGCAGGCGGAAUUCCGAGUGUAGCGGUGAAAUGCGUAGAUAUCCGGAGGAACACCAGUGGCGAAGGCGGCCUGCUGGGCUUUUACUGACGCUGAUGCACGAAAGCAUGGGGAGCAAACA
rnacentral:rRNA from 1 species